GACGAACGCUGGCGGCGUGCUUAACACAUGCAAGUCGAACGGAAAGGCCCUGCUUUUGUGGGGUGCUCGAGUGGCGAAAGGGUGAGGAACACGUGAGUAACCUGCCCUUGACUUUGGGAUAACUUCAGGAAAAUGGGGCUAAUACCGGAUAGGAGCUCCUGCUGCAUGGUGGGGGUUGGAAAGUUUCGGCGGUUGGGGAUGGACUCGCGGCUUAUCAGCUUGUUGGUGGGGUAGUGGCUUACCAAGGCUUUGACGGGUAGCCGGCCUGAGAGGGUGACCGGCCACAUUGGGACUGAGAUACGGCCCAGACUCCUACGGGAGGCAGCAGUGGGGAAUAUUGCACAAUGGGCGGAAGCCUGAUGCAGCAACGCCGCGUGCGGGAUGACGGCCUUCGGGUUGUAAACCGCUUUCGCCUGUGACGAAGCGUGAGUGACGGUAAUGGGUAAAGAAGCACCGGCUAACUACGUG
rnacentral:rRNA from 1 species